rnacentral:lncRNA from 1 species
GCUGGGCACUCAUGACUCGCUCAUGAUGUGAAUGGCUAUCGAAGGACAUAAUAUUGUCUAUGGGGAUCUCGCAGCGAGGGGCAGCGGUGCCUGAGAAGAUUGAUCCGUGGCUUUGGGCCCCUGCCAGUGUCGCUGCAGGAUAGUGCAUGGUCGGCACGCGAACCGCACGCGCGGACAACAAAAGCCUCUUUCAUGACUCACUGCCCUCGAGCAAUGCCCCAAAUCUGCCGGGAGGCAGUUGGGCUCCCGGGUCCUGGCCUGAGGCUGGAGCUGCCCAGGCUCGACAGGCAGGCGACCCGGGAGAGCCAAGAGCAACGAGAGACGCUAUUAAAAUGCCUCGCCGUCGCCCCGAGCGCAAAACCCAUCCUCCCCAAAUCUCCUGGGCUUGCGGCAUAAUCUUAAUUAAGAUAAUUGAUUCAUAUUGCACCUGCGAGAACGGAAAAAAUUGAUUUCAACCCCCAACCCCACAAAUCGCUUAGAGCUAUUGGAUGGAGCACGACGCGACUGUGAUUUAGGGAGUGAUUUAGUGCCGGGCUUCCCCAGCUCGGCCUGCCUGGGCCUUUUUAUUUAUUAUUUAU